rnacentral:rRNA from 1 species
UACAGAGGGUGCAAGCGUUGUUCGGAAUUACUGGGCGUAAAGCGCGUGUAGGUGGCGAUGUAAGUCGGGUGUGAAAUCCCUCAGCUUAACUGAGGAAGUGCACUCGAUACUGUGUCGCUUGAGUGUUGGAGGGGAUGGCGGAAUUCCCGGUGUAGAGGUGAAAUUCGUAGAUAUCGGGAGGAACACCUGUGGCGAAGGCGGCCAUCUGGACAACUACUGGCACUGAGACGCGAAAGCGUGGGUAGCAAACAGG